AUUGAACGCUGGCGGCAGGCCUAACACAUGCAAGUCGAACGAGUGGCGGACGGGUGUGUAAUGUCUGGGAAACUGCCCGAUGGAGGGGGUUAACUACUGGAAACGGUAGCUAAUACCGCAUACCAUCGGAUGUGCCCCGAUGGGUUUAGCUAGUAGGUGGGGUAACGGCUCACCUAGGCCACGAUCCCUAGCUGGUCUGAGAGAAUGACCGGCGACACGGGAACUGAGACACGGGACAGACUCCUACGGGAGGCAGCAGUGGGGAAUAGUGGACAAUGGGCGCAAGCCGGAUGCAGCCAGGCCGCGUGUAGGAAGAAGGCUGUCGGGUUGUAAAGUACUUUCAGCGAGGAGGCGUGACUCGCAGAAGAAGCACCGGCUAACUCCGUGCCAGCAGCCGCGGUAAUUU
rnacentral:rRNA from 1 species